GGGGUUGUGGCUCAGUGGUAGAGUGCUUGCCUAGCAUGUGUGAGGCCUUGAGUUCAAUCCUCACCACCACA
rnacentral:tRNA from 1 species